GGGGAAUUUUGGACAAUGGGGGCAACCCUGAUCCAGCCGUGCCGCGUGAGUGAAGAAGGCCUUCGGGUUGUAAAGCUCUUUCGGCCGGGAAGAAAUCGUGCAGGCUAAUACCCUGUAUGGAUGACGGUACCGGAAUAAGAAGCACCGGCUAACUACGUGCCAGCAGCCGCGGUAAUACGUAGGGUGCGAGCGUUAAUCGGAAUUACUGGGCGUAAAGCGUGCGCAGGCGGUUUUGUAAGACAGGCGUGAAAUCCCCGGGCUCAACCUGGGGAGUGGGCUUGUGAACGGAAGACUUGAGUACGGGAGGGGGGGGGUGAAAUCCAAGUGUAGCAGUGAAAAGCGUAGAGAUGUGGAGGAAAACCAAUGGGGAAGGCAGCCCCCUGGGUCGAUACUGACGCUCAUGCACGAAAGCGUGGGGAGCAAACA
rnacentral:rRNA from 1 species